rnacentral:rRNA from 1 species
GGGUUGUGAGGUUAAGCGACUAAGCGUACACGGUGGAUGCCCUGGCAGUCAGAGGCGAUGAAGGACGUGCUAAUCUGCGAUAAGCGUCGGUAAGGUGAUAUGAACCGUUAUAACCGGCGAUUUCCGAAUGGGGAAACCCAGUGUGUUUCGACACACUAUCAUUAACUGAAUCCAUAGGUUAAUGAGGCGAACCGGGGGAACUGAAACAUCUAAGUACCCCGAGGAAAAGAAAUCAACCGAGAUUCCCCCAGUAGCGGCGAGCGAACGGGGAGCAGCCCAGAGCCUGAAUCAGUGUGUGUGUUAGUGGAAGCGUCUGGAAAGGCGCGCGAUACAGGGUGACAGCCCCGUACACAAAAAUGCACAUGCUGUGAGCUCGAUGAGUAGGGCGGGACACGUGGUAUCCUGUCUGAAUAUGGGGGGACCAUCCUCCAAGGCUAAAUACUCCUGACUGACCGAUAGUGAACCAGUACCGUGAGGGAAAGGCGAAAAGAACCCCGGCGAGGGGAGUGAAAAAGAACCUGAAACCGUGUACGUACAAGCAGUGGGAGCACAGAGCAAUCUGUGUGACUGCGUACCUUUUGUAUAAUGGGUCAGCGACUUAUAUUCUGUAGCAAGGUUAACCGAAUAGGGGAGCCGAAGGGAAACCGAGUCUUAACUGGGCGUUAAGUUGCAGGGUAUAGACCCGAAACCCGGUGAUCUAGCCAUGGGCAGGUUGAAGGUUGGGUAACACUAACUGGAGGACCGAACCGACUAAUGUUGAAAAAUUAGCGGAUGACUUGUGGCUGGGGGUGAAAGGCCAAUCAAACCGGGAGAUAGCUGGUUCUCCCCGAAAGCUAUUUAGGUAGCGCCUCGUGAAUUCAUCUCCGGGGGUAGAGCACUGUUUCGGCAAGGGGGUCAUCCCGACUUACCAACCCGAUGCAAACUGCGAAUACCGGAGAAUGUUAUCACGGGAGACACACGGCGGGUGCUAACGUCCGUCGUGAAGAGGGAAACAACCCAGACCGCCAGCUAAGGUCCCAAAGUCAUGGUUAAGUGGGAAACGAUGUGGGAAGGCCCAGACAGCCAGGAUGUUGGCUUAGAAGCAGCCAUCAUUUAAAGAAAGCGUAAUAGCUCACUGGUCGAGUCGGCCUGCGCGGAAGAUGUAACGGGGCUAAACCAUGCACCGAAGCUGCGGCAGCGACGCUUAUGCGUUGUUGGGUAGGGGAGCGUUCUGUAAGCCUGUGAAGGUGUGCUGUGAGGCAUGCUGGAGGUAUCAGAAGUGCGAAUGCUGACAUAAGUAACGAUAAAGCGGGUGAAAAGCCCGCUCGCCGGAAGACCAAGGGUUCCUGUCCAACGUUAAUCGGGGCAGGGUGAGUCGACCCCUAAGGCGAGGCCGAAAGGCGUAGUCGAUGGGAAACAGGUUAAUAUUCCUGUACUUGGUGUUACUGCGAAGGGGGGACGGAGAAGGCUAUGUUGGCCGGGCGACGGUUGUCCCGGUUUAAGCGUGUAGGCUGGUUUUCCAGGCAAAUCCGGAAAAUCAAGGCUGAGGCGUGAUGACGAGGCACUACGGUGCUGAAGCAACAAAUGCCCUGCUUCCAGGAAAAGCCUCUAAGCAUCAGGUAACAUCAAAUCGUACCCCAAACCGACACAGGUGGUCAGGUAGAGAAUACCAAGGCGCUUGAGAGAACUCGGGUGAAGGAACUAGGCAAAAUGGUGCCGUAACUUCGGGAGAAGGCACGCUGAUAUGUAGGUGAAGUCCCUCGCGGAUGGAGCUGAAAUCAGUCGAAGAUACCAGCUGGCUGCAACUGUUUAUUAAAAACACAGCACUGUGCAAACACGAAAGUGGACGUAUACGGUGUGACGCCUGCCCGGUGCCGGAAGGUUAAUUGAUGGGGUUAGCGGUAACGCGAAGCUCUUGAUCGAAGCCCCGGUAAACGGCGGCCGUAACUAUAACGGUCCUAAGGUAGCGAAAUUCCUUGUCGGGUAAGUUCCGACCUGCACGAAUGGCGUAAUGAUGGCCAGGCUGUCUCCACCCGAGACUCAGUGAAAUUGAACUCGCUGUGAAGAUGCAGUGUACCCGCGGCAAGACGGAAAGACCCCGUGAACCUUUACUAUAGCUUGACACUGAACAUUGAGCCUUGAUGUGUAGGAUAGGUGGGAGGCUUUGAAGUGUGGACGCCAGUCUGCAUGGAGCCGACCUUGAAAUACCACCCUUUAAUGUUUGAUGUUCUAACGUUGACCCGUAAUCCGGGUUGCGGACAGUGUCUGGUGGGUAGUUUGACUGGGGCGGUCUCCUCCUAAAGAGUAACGGAGGAGCACGAAGGUUGGCUAAUCCUGGUCGGACAUCAGGAGGUUAGUGCAAUGGCAUAAGCCAGCUUGACUGCGAGCGUGACGGCGCGAGCAGGUGCGAAAGCAGGUCAUAGUGAUCCGGUGGUUCUGAAUGGAAGGGCCAUCGCUCAACGGAUAAAAGGUACUCCGGGGAUAACAGGCUGAUACCGCCCAAGAGUUCAUAUCGACGGCGGUGUUUGGCACCUCGAUGUCGGCUCAUCACAUCCUGGGGCUGAAGUAGGUCCCAAGGGUAUGGCUGUUCGCCAUUUAAAGUGGUACGCGAGCUGGGUUUAGAACGUCGUGAGACAGUUCGGUCCCUAUCUGCCGUGGGCGCUGGAGAACUGAGGGGGGCUGCUCCUAGUACGAGAGGACCGGAGUGGACGCAUCACUGGUGUUCGGGUUGUCAUGCCAAUGGCACUGCCCGGUAGCUAAAUGCGGAAGAGAUAAGUGCUGAAAGCAUCUAAGCACGAAACUUGCCCCGAGAUGAGUUCUCCCUGACUCCUUGAGAGUCCUGAAGGAACGUUGAAGACGACGACGUUGAUAGGCCGGGUGUGUAAGCGCAGCGAUGCGUUGAGCUAACCGGUACUAAUGAACCGUGAGGCUUAACCUUACAACGCCGAAG